AUCCAGAUGACGAGUCCCAAAUAGGAGGAAACGUGCGUCCUGGAU
rfam:Schistosoma mansoni strain Puerto Rico chromosome 1, complete genome